GGAGGAUUUUGUGUGGGAGUGUCUGGGUGUAUUGUACGGAUUGAUUGGUUGUUUUGUAACGCCCUGUGGGCUGUACUAUGUUUGUGGAUUGGGAAUAAAAGAGACUGUAUGUGACAGUACAGAGAGUUCCUGCUUGACCCUCAAACCGAUGUGUCGUCUCGUUUUUGGGGGGAAUUGGAUUGUAUGCUGACUGCCAGGAGUGUAAGCGGAUUGUAUGCUUUUCCUGUUCGGCCUAUUCCAGUGUUCAUGUGUUUCCAGUUCGGGAGUUGGAGAAUUCGUACAGUUUGCAGUUCGGGAGUUUGGUGCUUGCAGUAGCUGCUGGUCUAUGGGAAAGGGGAUUAUCGCCUAAACGGUUUUUAUCCUCUUGUGAGAGAAACGGUCCGUUACACUAUAUCAUCAUCAUACUGCUCCAUCAUUAUAUCAUACUGCUCCAUCAUUAUAUCAUCAUACUGCUCCAUCAUUAUAUCAUCACACUGCUCCAACAUUAUACCAUCACAUAGCUCCAUCGUUAUACCAUCACACUGCUCCAUCUUUAUAUCAUCACACUACUCCAUCUUUAUAUCAUCACACUACUCCAUCAUUAUAUCAUCAUACUGCUCCAUCAUUAUAUCAUAACACUUCUCCAUCAUAUCACCACACUGUUCCAUCAUUAUAUCAUCAUACUGCUCCAUCAUUAUACCAUCACACUGCUCUAUCAUUAUAUCAUCACACUGCUCCAUCAUUACAUCAUACAGCUCCAUCAUUAUAUUAUCACACAGCUCCAUUAUUAUAUCAUCACACUACUCCAUCAUUAUACCAUCACAUAGCUCCAUCAUUAUAUCAUCAUACUGCUCCAUUGUUAUACCAUCACACUGCUCUAUCUUUAUAUCAUCACACUAUUCCAUCAUUAUACCAUCAUAUAGCUCCAUCAUUAUACCAUCAUAUAGCUCCAUCAUUAUAUCAUCAUACUGCUCCAUCUUUAUAUCAUCACACUACUCCAUCAUUAUAUCAUCAUACUGCUCCAUCAUUAUAUCAUCAUUCUGCUCCAUCUUUAUAUCAUCACACUACUCCAUCAUUAUACCAUCACAUAGCUCCAACAUUAUACCAUCACAUAGCUCCAUCAUUAUAUCAUCAUACUGCUCCAUCAUUAUAUCAUCACACUGCUCCAUCAUUAUAUCAUCAUACAGCUUCAUCAUUAUAUCAUCUUACUUCUCCAUCGUUAUACCAUCACACUGCUCCAUCAUUAUAUCAUCAUACUGCUCCAUCAUUAUAUCAUCAUACAGCUUCAUCAUUAUAUCAUCAUACUGCUCCAUCGUUAUACCAUCACAUAGCUCGGCCAUUAUAUCAUCACACUGCUCCAUCAUUAUAUCAUACAGCUCCAUAAUUAUAUAAUCACACUUCAUCAUUAUAUUAUCACACAGCUCCAUCAUUAUAUCAUCACACUACUCCAUCAUUAUACCAUCACAUAGCUCCAUCAUUAUAUCAUCAUGCUGCUCCAUCAUUAUAUCAUCACACUGCUCCAUCAUUAUAUCAUCAUGCUGCUCCAUCAUUAUAUAAUCAUACUGCUCCAUCAUUAUAUUAUCAUACUGCUCCAUCAUUAUAUCAUCAUGCUGCCCCAUCAUUAUAUUAUCAUGCUGCACCAUCAUUAUAUCGUCAUACUGCUCCAUCAUAAUAUAAUAUGAUGGAGAAGUGUUAUGAUAUAAUGAUGGAGCAGUAUGAUGAUAUAAUGAUGGAGCAGUAUGAUGAUGAUAUAGCAAUGGAGCAGUGUGAUAUAAUGACAGAGCAGUGUGAUGAUGUAAUGAUGGAGCAGUAUG